rnacentral:rRNA from 1 species
UACGAAGGGGGCUAGCGUUGCCCGGAAUCACUGGGCGUAAAGCGCACGUAGGCGGAUUGCUAAGUCAGGGGUGAAAUCCUGGAGCUCAACUCCAGAACUGCCUUUGAUACUGGCGAUCUUGAGUCCGGGAGAGGUGAGUGGAACUGCGAGUGUAGAGGUGAAAUUCGUAGAUAUUCGCAAGAACACCAGUGGCGAAGGCGGCUCACUGGCCCGGUACUGACGCUGAGGCACGAAAGCGUGGGGAGCAAACAGG